GAUGAACGCUAGCUACAGGCUUAACACAUGCAAGUCGAGGGAAACGAUAUUGGAAGCUUGCUUCCGAUAGGCGUCGACCGGCGCACGGGUGAGUAACGCGUAUCCAACCUGCCCACCACUUGGGGAUAACCUUGCGAAAGUAAGACUAAUACCCAAUGAUAUCUCUAGAAGACAUCUGAAAGAGAUUAAAGAUUUAUCGGUGAUGGAUGGGGAUGCGUCUGAUUAGCUUGUUGGCGGGGUAACGGCCCACCAAGGCGACGAUCAGUAGGGGUUCUGAGAGGAAGGUCCCCCACAUUGGAACUGAGACACGGUCCAAACUCCUACGGGAGGCAGCAGUGAGGAAUAUUGGUCAAUGGACGAGAGUCUGAACCAGCCAAGUAGCGUGCAGGAUGACGGCCCUAUGGGUUGUAAACUGCUUUUAUAAGGGAAUAAAGUGAGAGUCGUGACUCUUUUUGCAUGUACCUUAUGAAUAAGGACCGGCUAAUUCCGUGCCAGCAGCCG
rnacentral:rRNA from 1 species